GCGGUCCGUGUAUCAACCGGAUGUGACGGCAGAAGGAACGCUGCGGUUUUUCUGGUUUCCCGCUACGGCCGAAGAAAUGGCAGUCGAGCCUUUUCCCCGUCCACGGA
rnacentral:sRNA from 1 species